AACAAACGCUGGCGGCGUGCCUAAUACAUGCAAGUCGAACGGGGAAAGCUUUCGGGUGAGUACUAGUGGCGCACGGGUGAGGAACGCGUGGAUAAUCUGCCUUAGAGUGGGGGAUAACUAGUCGAAAGAUUAGCUAAUACCGCAUAAGACCACAGGAGCUGCGGCUCUAGGGGUCAAAGGUUUUUCGCUCUAAGAUGAGUCCGCGUAAGAUUAGCUAGUUGGUGAGGUAACGGCUCACCAAGGCGACGAUCUUUAACUGGUCUGAGAGGAUGAUCAGUCACACUGGAACUGAGACACGGUCCAGACUCCUACGGGAGACAGCAGUAGGGAAUAUUGCACAAUGGAGGAAACUCUGAUGCAGCGACGCCGCGUGAGUGAUGAAGGCCUUCGGGUCGUAAGCUCUGUCGCAGGGGAAUAACACAAUGAAUGUACCCUGUAAGAAAGGAUCGGCUAACUUCGUGCCAGCCGCCGCCGUAAGAC
rnacentral:rRNA from 1 species